rnacentral:rRNA from 1 species
UACGGAGGGGGCUAGCGUUGUUCGGAAUUACUGGGCGUAAAGCGCACGUAGGCGGCUUGGUAAGUUAGAGGUGAAAGCCUGGAGCUCAACUCCAGAAUUGCCUUUAAGACUGCCGAGCUAGCAGGUGAGAGAGGUGAGUGGAAUUCCGAGUGUAGAGGUGAAAUUCGUAGAUAUUCGGAAGAACACCAGUGGCGAAGGCGACUCACUGGACAUGUAUUGACGCUGAGGUGCGAAAGCGUGGGGAGCAAACAGG